rnacentral:rRNA from 1 species
AACGAACGCUGGCGGCAGGCUUAACACAUGCAAGUCGAGCGCCCCGCAAGGGGAGCGGCAGACGGGUGAGUAACGCGUGGGAAUCUACCCAACCCUACGGAAUAACGCAUGGAAACGUGUGCUAAUACCGUAUACGCCCUUCGGGGGAAAGAUUUAUCGGGGAUGGAUGAGCCCGCGUUGGAUUAGCUAGUUGGUGGGGUAAAGGCCUACCAAGGCGACGAUCCAUAGCUGGUCUGAGAGGAUGAUCAGCCACAUUGGGACUGAGACACGGCCCAAACUCCUACGGGAGGCAGCAGUGGGGAAUAUUGGACAAUGGGCGCAAGCCUGAUCCAGCCAUGCCGCGUGAGUGAUGAAGGCCCUAGGGUUGUAAAGCUCUUUCACCGGAGAAGAUAAUGACGGUAUCCGGAGAAGAAGCCCCGGCUAACUUCGUGCCAGCCGCCGCCGUAAAAC